rnacentral:rRNA from 1 species
AUAGUGUGGGGGUCCUUCCAAGGAUUCCGUGACGCAGGUUAUGCAUUUAGUUCCCGCCAGGGGAGUACGCCCUCAAGGCUGCCCUCUAAGGAAUCGUGGGGACCUGCACAAGCGGCGGAGCAUGCGGAUAAAUUCGAUGUAAAUUGAAGAACCUUAUCAAGCCUUGAAAUAUACGAGAACCGCCCAGAAAUGGUCAACUCGUUGAACACUUGUAAUCAGUUGGUGCAAGGCUGUCGGCAGCUCGAGUCGUGAGAUGUUGGGUUAGGUCCAACAACGAGCGCAACCCUCGUUCUACGUUGCCAGCAAGUAAUCGUUGGAACUCAAAGGAUUCUGCCGGGGUCAACUCGGACGAAGGAGGGGAAGGCAUCAAAUCAUCAUGCCAUUUUCUCAGGGCUUCACGCAUGCCACAAUGCCCGGUACAAAGGGCAACAAUACCGUGAGGCGGAGCGAAUAGCAAAAAGCCGGUCCCGGUUCGGAUUGAGGUUGGCAUCUAGACCUGAUGCCGUCGGAGUGGGAGUCAAUAGCAUAUCAUCUACGCAGCGGUGAAUACGUUACCUGGGGUUGCACUCCCCGCCCGCCAAUUCAAGAAAGAAGUUAACACAUGAUGCCAGUGGCGUAAUCAUCCCGAUUGUGCGGGGGGAAGGGGUUUUAUAGUUAGAAGAAUUGGGUC